CAGACAGCACAGGACGCAGUGGGAAUCUCAGGGGGUCCUUUAUUUCCUUCGCUUUCAUUUCACAAGGUGAAAUUUCAACCUGCCCAGAUUAUUUCUGCCAGUUCCGGCAAUGGCUGAGACCCCCUGUCCCACUUCCAAGGCGGAAGCCAUCCCCGACGAGGUCCGAGGGCUGUGGAGACCCCGGGCUGGUCAGGGCCCGCCCGAGAGCCCCAGCAUGGUGUGCCAGGAUCCCACCGCCUCGUUCCAAUCAGGGAUGGGCAGAGGUGGGCGGUAUUGCUAGCCGCUACUUCAGAGACCAGGCCUACCUCACUCACACGUAAAGGAAGCAUUCUCAAGUAUAUCUGCAGUCUUACCCUUUCCCGAUCGUUCUUCAAAUGCCUGGCAUUACCCUUCCCUACCUGUAAAAUUCCCUUCUUUUUCACAUUAUCUUCCUUGAUUGCUUCUUAGUAUAAAGACAAAAGAACAAAGAUGUGGAUUUAUUGUGCACAGUUGCAGGUCUCUAGGGAAAAAACGCCCAGAGCUUUUCCAUGCCGCCUGCAGUAAGUACGGAGUCGAGGAGGGGGUCUGAAAUAACCUGCUGUGGGGACACCAGCAGGGCUUAGUCAGAAUCCGCUCGCCAACCACGUAACAGUGACAGAUAAAAAAGCUGGCAGUUAAAAUACACAGCCGUCACUCCAUGUAUCGCCCCCCCAAGCCUGCCCGACUUCUGAAUAACAGGGCUUCCUAAGUUUUACUCCCCUUCAGUUCAACGGACAAAACGUAGCCACGUCUUAGCAAUGGAUCUGUCCCCAAAGAGAAUGGCAAUUUACCAGGAUUUUAAUUCAGUCUGGAGGAAUGUGACUGAAAGAGUAAGGGCCAUUUCCUAGUAAAUGCCGAAUGGGG